GACCUUGCCUGGCCAACGGGGAAAGUUCGCUGGCCCGAUAAGGAUUGAGCCAUCCCGAGUGCCUGGCCAGCUGCGGGUUCCUGAGGUCUCUUCGGACAGUGAAGCAGGAGAAAUGCCCCCCACCACACUGGGCUUGGGGCUUUGUCGCUGCCUGUGUGCAGAGCUGCGGUCUUGAUGUAGAAUGCCUGGUGACAAAGAAGCGCUGUUCAAACUGGUGUGGAUACACCUGUCAGCUUCAGCAAACGUGUUCAAAGGUGUCCCAUUAAAGCCUAGACCUCGCCUUUCUCGAGGACUCCAGUGGACCCUUGAAGUAUCAUAGAAUCCAAAUGCAACAUGUCUGUGGAGCCUGUAUUUUAUAUCCCGCAGAAAAGGUGGAACUACAGGAUUCAGCCCAGGGAAGACGAAGCUACAGAAUGGCAGAUGGAAAGAUUGAUGAUGGAGGACAAUGUGCAGCUAGACGGCCUAAGACCAAACAGAUGGGACCAGUUCAGAGUAGCUGCAAUCAGUGUCCACAGCACACGUGGUUUUGCUGCUCCAAGCAAACAUUUCCACUCCUCUAGAGGACCGCUAACCCAUCACCUGUGGAGUAGGUGAAGAGAUAAAAGUUUUGGGUCAUCAUAAGAUGAAAUAUACAAGUGUCCCCUUCCUGGUGUCUAUUUUCUUCUCCUCCCACCUAGGGGACAUGGUGGGAACAGAUUCGAGGUCUGAUCCACUCAGUCUCACUGCAGAGGUAUCUAAUGAAUAGCCAACAUCCCAUGAAGUACUCCACUUAAGACUAGAAGCAGCAUCUCUUAUUAUUAUGAUUGUCAGUUGCAAGUGGAAGUGCAGUGGAAGAAAGGAAAAGAGAGCCACAAAGAGUCUAGCACGUACUUGUUAAAAUGGAAACCAAUAGUAUGUGCUGCCAAGUACAGCAGCAGAAGAAAAGGCAGCCGUUCAGUAGCUAAUCUGGAUUUACACCAGUGUAAAUCCAUUGAAGUGGAUCGGAAGUUUCACGCUGACUUCAGUGGGCUUUGGAUCAGGCUCUAAAUGGACUUGUGGACUGGGAGAAAAGAAGGGUAUUUUUUUAAACAUGUUAGCUACCAGAUUUUAACUAACACUCAUGUAGACAGGAUUUAAUGCCUUUAAAAACACGUUAACUGGUCAUGAUAGACACUAGGCUCUGCCUUAGAGUCAGCCACGACCAGCUAACAUGGUUUUAAAGGUGUUGAAUCCUGUUUCGGCUAGGUCAUAAGUGAUGUUUUAAAAGUGUUAUGUAAAAUGUGUUUUAAAAGAAGACCUUUUCCCGUAGUCUAGACAAGACUAAUGGGAGCUGAAUUGGUCCACUCUCUACUGAUCUGCCCACUUAGCAUUCCCUAGGAAGGCUCAGACCCUGCAAAUAGGGCUGGAUGAUUCGGGCGUACGCUGCCAGUUUGUUACAAUGCACAAGUGCCAGAAUAUAAAUCUAGCUAAACCAAAUAAUAAAAACAUGAAGGGGUUAGUGAGAGACACUGGGCAGAUACUGUUCUAAAGUGCAGUAAAAUACUUCUUGAACAGUGGUGAGUCUAGGUGCUAUUAUAGAGCGGCAGUGUGGCCUAGUAGGCAGGGGACUCAGCUAGGAGAUGGGAAUUCAAUCCCUUGCCCUGCCACAGAGCUGUUGUGUGACUCUGGGCAAGCCAUGUCACUUCUGUUUCCUCUCCCAUCCUUUGUCCAUUUAGAUUUUAAGUUAUUUAGGGCAGGAUAUAGUGUCUGUCACUGCCUGUGUGCAGCAUCUGGCACAAUGGGGGUUGGCCGCAGCCAAUGCUUCAAAGCACUACGGCAACCACUUACCAAACUGACGUUCAAGUGCUCUCAGCCACUGGUCAUGGGCAGCCACACUGGGAACCUUUCAAACACCAGAGGCUGAAGCUGCAGGCUAAUAAGGUUAGUUAGUCACCUGGGGCCUAACUCUGCAAACUCUGGUGCACAUGAAUAAUCCAAUGGGAUUACUCACAUUAGUGGAGUUACUUGCAUGAGUUCAAUGUUUGCAAGAUGGGGCCUCAUAGACAUGCAUUCAUUCUAAGGGCACUAAUCAUACAAAGUGGAUAGUUCUCUGAAAACAUCCACUCAAUGUGCAGAGGC